rnacentral:lncRNA from 1 species
UGCAUAUCAAUUACAAGAGAUACUAAAGAGAGUCUGGAGGAAAAAAUCAGAGAAGUCACACUCCCCGGCUUCAAAACUUGUUACAUAGCCAGGCAUGGUGGUGCACAUCUAUAAUAAUCCCAGCACUUAGGAGGCUGAGACAGGAACAGUUAUGCUGCCUGUCCCAAGGGCUCUGAAGAUACCUAGAAACCCAAGAAAAAUGAUAAAAUUCAAUCCUUCAAAUAAUUUCUUUACACUGAAAAUUAUUUCUGCCAAAUGUGGUGGAGGCGCAGUGCUGGCUGGUAAACUGGAAAGGCUAAUUAUUUCGAGGAAAGAAGCCUCAAGUUUCUUCUGGUUUGUUUGCCCUCCAGCUUCCAACUUGGGUCCACAAAUUUCCUCCCCGAGUGGGCUAUGCUGGCCUCGGGGCAAGGCUGUAUGAUCCUGGAAGCAGCGGAGGUGUUUCGGGCCCAGCAGCAGCCACCUCCGUCAGGCACUGUUCAUCACUGAUGCCAGGGCGAGCCCACGAGGCAGGUGCUCCACUUUAGAGGCAAAAUCCACCCUCAAGGGAGCUCAUAAUCUUCCCUGACAUUUCUCCACCGCGCUUCCCAAACAGCCCGCAGGGGUUCUCCUCAGCCCCAAAAAUAAAAAUAAACGUACCACGCCUGGUGGACACCUCUCGCCCCAGGCUUCAGCGGAAUUGCACAGCGCCCAGCUUGCCAGGAUUCCACCACCACCACCACCACCGUCGCGGAAGUGUGCGCGCGCGAGCGAGAGAGAGGAGAGCUGCGCCUGCGCGGCAGGGGCCUCGCGCGAGCCGCGCGUGCGCGACAGGAGCUGUGGUAAAGCAGCUGCGGCAGGCUGGUGACUGGACGCGCGUUGUGUGCCUUGGCCCAGAGUCGGAGUCAACAUCUGAGCUGUUGCUGCCAACCCACCUGGACUUCUUGGUACCCAGGAAGGUGUGUUUCAUCGACAACCAAUGUCAGUUCAACACCAGCUACGUAAGGGAACGAAGACCUAAGUCAAGGGUCUCACUAAGCUGCCCAGGCACCUCCUGCUCUUCUUUUCCUGUUAAACACUACAUUCUUAACUUUUUCCUCCUGGAGAAUAACUAACCACGCUGGCCGCAUGUUAUUCUAGCCAAACUCACUUCAAGCUGUGUCAGAUGAACGCAUACUCCACCCUCUCCGCUUGGUCUCCUGCACGGAGGUGCAGGGAUGACCGAAGCAGCAGCCAUGCACCCCUAAGAAGGUAGGUCCUUUCCGGCGAUCUCCAGGGCAGAGAGGGGCCAGCUCGCAGCGCUUCCGCACACCCCUGGGAACCUCGCGCUAGCGCCCGGCUCCCCGCCACUGGGACCCCC